UACAGAGGGGGCAAGCGUUAUUCGGAAUUAUUGGGCGUAAAGGGCGCGUAGGCGGUCGUGCAAGUGGAAGGUGAAAUCCCUCGGCUCAACCGAGGAACUGCCUUUCAAACUGCAUGACUUGAGUCCGGGAGAGGUGAGUGGAAUUCCCAGUGUAGCGGUGAAAUGCGUAGAUAUUGGGAGGAACACCAGUGGCGAAGGCGGCUCACUGGACCGGAACUGACGCUGAGGCGCGAAAGCGUGGGGAGCAAACGGG
rnacentral:rRNA from 2 species